UGGGGAAUAUUGCACAAUGGGCGCAAGCCUGAUGCAGCCAUGCCGCGUGUGUGAAGAAGGCCUUCGGGUUGUAAAGCACUUUCAGCGAGGAGGAAGGUGGUGAACUUAAUACGUUCAUCAAUUGACGUUACUCGCAGAAGAAGCACCGGCUAACUCCGUGCCAGCAGCCGCGGUAAUACGGAGGGUGCAAGCGUUAAUCGGAAUUACUGGGCGUAAAGCGCACGCAGGCGGUUUGUUAAGUCAGAUGUGAAAUCCCCGGGCUCAACCUGGGAACUGCAUUUGAAACUGGCAAGCUAGAGUCUCGUAGAGGGGGGUAGAAUUCCAGGUGUAGCGGUGAAAUGCGUAGAGAUCUGGAGGAAUACCGGUGGCGAAGGCGGCCCCCUGGACGAAGACUGACGCUCAGGUGCGAAAGCGUGGGGAGCAAACAGGAUUAGAUACCCCUGGUAGUCCACGCUGUAAACGAUGUCGAUUUUGGAGGUUGUGCCCUUGAGGCGUGGCUUCCGGAGCUAACGCGUUAAAUCGACCGCCUGGGGAGUACGGCCGCAAGGUUAAAACUCAAAUGAAUUGACGGGGUC
rnacentral:rRNA from 1 species